rnacentral:rRNA from 1 species
GACAGAGGUGCCGAGCGUUAGGCGGAAUCACUGGGCUUAAAGCGUGUGUAGGCGGAUCGUUAAGUACCUUGUGAAAUCCCACGGCUCAACCGUGGAACUGCUGGGUAUACUGGCGAUCUUGAGCCUCCUAGGGGCGAGCGGAACAAGCGGUGGAGCGGUGAAAUGCGUAGAUAUCGCUUGGAACGCCGACGGUGAAAACAGCUCGCUGGGGGUGUGCUGACGCUGAGACACGAAAGCCAGGGGAGCGAACGGG